CAGGAGCCAAAUAAUGAGUGCCUUUGGAUUCCUGCCUUGCUGCUUGCUAUGAGACAGCCCUGACCACUCCCACUCCUAGACCUCAGUACCAAAACCCCUAAGCCUUCUCGGAAGGAGAGAAGGGACAGAAGACUGAGGAAAGAGAUGAUGGAUAUCUGCAUGGAUAUGUGGCUGUGAAAAUUACAAGAAAUUAAUAAUAUUAUAAUGAUAAUGAGUUACCAAAUGAUUAUUGUGGGCUACUUUCUAGAUGCUUUUUAUGUAUUUGUUUAAAUCUUCAACAACUCUAUGAAGUAGGUACUAUUAUUAUCAUUCCUUUUUCAUAUAUGAGGACAUUGAAGCACAGAGAAAAUAAGUAACUUCACCAAGGUCAACAGCUGGGUUAUACUGUUUCCUCUCACCGCAUUAACUGAGACCAUCCCCAUUUUUUUGCUUAGACUCUAUCUCUUCAAACCUGGCUGCAGAGUGAAACUCAGCCUUCCCAGCCCUCACAUCCCUGAUGCUUCUGAGGACAAUCCUGCAGGCCCUUUUGGUUCUGAGAACCUGCUGAUUGCUGUCAGAAACUGAAGUGAAAGUGGCGGGUACCAAAUGUAGGAGGCUGCAGUUUCCAGAAUCUUACACCUUCCUCUCUGGCAUGGUCUCCUGGGUGUAUUUUCUGACUCUUUUCUGGAAGGUGCAAUGGAAGCCACAUGGAACUUGAUUUCUGCAUGAAUUCCUGAGGGGGCUCAGCAAACCAAACUCUUUGGACUGACCUUCCCCUCUCUUUGAGGAUGGGCCACUUUCUUCCUGUUUUAUGUUACAAAACACAAAAAACAGAGACAUUUUCAAAAUAUAAUAAACAUUUGUGUUUCUACAACUGAAAUUAAACAGAAAUUAAUAUGUUGUCA